UACGUAGGGGGCAAGCGUUGUCCGGAUUUAUUGGGCGUAAAGAGCGUGUAGGCGGCCACACAGGUCUGCUGUGAAAACUCGAGGCUCAACCUCGAGCUGUCGGUGGAAACCGUGUGGCUAGAGUCCGGAAGAGGAGAGUGGAAUUCCCGGUGUAGCGGUGAAAUGCGCAGAUAUCGGGAAGAACACCCGUGGCGAAGGCGGCUCUCUGGGACGGUACGUGACGCUGAGACGCGAAAGCGUGGGGAGCGAACAGG
rnacentral:rRNA from 1 species